rnacentral:rRNA from 1 species
AAAUGAAUUGACGGGGGCCCGCACAAGCGGCGGAGCAUGCGGAUUAAUUCGAUGCAACGCGAAGAACCUUACCAAGGCUUGACAUGUGCCAGACCGCUUCAGAGAUGGAGUUUCCCUUCGGGGCUGGUUCACAGGUGGUGCAUGGUUGUCGUCAGCUCGUGUCGUGAGAUGUUGGGUUAAGUCCCGCAACGAGCGCAACCCUCGUUCCAUGUUGCCAGCACGUAGUGGUGGGGACUCAUGGGAGACUGCCGGGGUCAACUCGGAGGAAGGUGGGGAUGACGUCAAAUCAUCAUGCCCCUUAUGUCUUGGGCUUCACGCAUGCUACAAUGGCCGGUACAAUGGGUUGCGAUACUGUGAGGUGGAGCUAAUCCCUAAAAGCCGGUCUCAGUUCGGAUUGGGGUCUGCAACUCGACCCCAUGAAGUCGGAGUCGCUAGUAAUCGCAGAUCAGCAACGCUGCGGUGAAUACGUUCCCGGGCCUUGUACACACCGCCCGU